UUGUCUUUGUUUUUGCUAUCUCUCUGUAUCUGAUGUUUUCUUGUUGCCUUUGUGCUUCUAUCUGUGAAUUCAAGUUUUUCUCUUUAUUUUUUUUUACUAUGUCUUUUUGAUUCUGACAAAAAGGGGGAGAAGUCAUUAAUAGCUCUGAUGAAAACAUUGUCUAAUACCUUAAGCAUUCUGCGACAUAUUUUUUUUUAAAAAUAAAAUUUAUCUAACCUGGACUUAAG
rnacentral:lncRNA from 1 species